GAUGAACGCUAGCGGCAGGCUUAACACAUGCAAGUCGAGGGGUAGAUGGAGCUUGCUUCAUUGAGACCGGCGCACGGGUGCGUAACGCGUAUGCAACCUACCUUGGACAGGGGAAUAGCCCAGAGAAAUUUGGAUUAAUGCCCCAUAGUAUAUUCUGAUGGCAUCAUUGGAUUAUUAAAGUCACAACGGUUCAAGAUGGGCAUGCGUCCCAUUAGCUAGUUGGUAAGGUAACGGCUUACCAAGGCGAUGAUGGGUAGGGGUCCUGAGAGGGAGAUCCCCCACACUGGUACUGAGACCCGGCCCAGAGUCCUAGUGGAGGCAGCAGUGAGGAAUAUUGGUCAAUGGGCGCAAGCCUGAACCAGCCAUGCCGCGUGCAGGAUGACGGUCCUAUGGAUUGUAAACUGCUUUUGUACGGGAAGAAACAGUUCUUCGUGAAGAACCUUGACGGUACCGUAAGAAUAAGGAUCGGCUAACUCCGUGCCAGCCGCCGCAGUAAAAC
rnacentral:rRNA from 1 species